rnacentral:lncRNA from 1 species
UCCAAUGAAUUAUUUCAAUCAAUUUCUUCAUAAAUCUCGCUUCGGUAUCUAUUCCUUUGAUUUGUAGGUUUCUGAUGUGUUUGCCAGCUUGUCAAAUAACACAUUAGUUAUGUAAAUUUACUAUAGAAACUAAAAACGUUUUAUAUAAAUUCUUCUUUUCUUAUACCCAAUUCAUUGAAAUCAAGUUUUCGCUCAUGGAAACAAAAGAAAGAUACUGUUUGAAGCAGUUUAACAGAAAUAAAUGAAUAGCGAUAUUAAAUUGUGUAUAUGAAUGGUAUAUGAUAGAUAUCUACUUGGCCC